UUGGUCCUACGGGAGGCAGCAGUCGGGAAUAUUGCGCAAUGGAGGAAACUCUGACGCAGUGACGCCGCGUAUAGGAAGAAGGUUUUCGGAUUGUAAACUAUUGUCGUUAGGGAAGAUAAAAGACUGUACCUAAGGAGGAAGCCCCGGCUAACUAUGUGCCAGCAGCCGCGGUAAUACAUAGGGGGAAAGCGUUAUCCGGAAUUAUUGGGUGUAGAGGGUGCGUAGACGGAAGAACAAGUUGGUUGUGAAAUCCCUCGGCUCAACUGAGGAACUGCAACCAACAC
rnacentral:rRNA from 1 species